rnacentral:tRNA from 1 species
UCCCUGGUAGCUCAGAUGGUAAAGAACCUGCCUGCAAUGCAGGAGACCUAGGUUCAAUCCCUGGGUUGGGAA